CGGCGGACGGGUGAGUAACGCGUGGGUAACCUACCCUGUACACACGGAUAACAUACCGAAAGGUAUGCUAAUACGGGGUAAUAUAUUUGAGAGGCAUCUCUUGAAUAUCAAAGGUGAGCCAGUACAGGAUGGACCCGCGUCUGAUUAGCUAGUUGGUAAGGUAACGGCUUACCAAGGCGACGAUCAGUAGCCGACCUGAGAGGGUGAUCGGCCACAUUGGAACUGAGACACGGUCCAA
rnacentral:rRNA from 1 species